rnacentral:rRNA from 1 species
AAGUUACUGCUAUCGGGGUCCGACUAAGCCAUGCGAGUUGAGAGGGGUAAGCCCUCGGCAUACUGCUCAGUAACACGCGGAUAACCUGCCCUUGGGUCCGGGAUAACCCCGGGAAACUGGGACUAAUACCGGAUAGAUCAGAGAAACUGGAAUGUUCUCUGGUUCAAAACUCCGGUGCCCAAGGAUGGGUCUGCGGCCUAUCAGGUAGUAGUGGGUGUAACGUACCUACUAGCCAGCGACGGGUAAGGGUUGUGAGAGCAAGAUCCCUGAGAUGGAUUCUGAGACAUGAAUCCAGGCCCUACGGGGUGCAGCAGGCGCGAAAGCUUUACACUGCGGGAAACCGCGAUAAGGGGACCCCGAGUGCCAGCACCUAGUGCUGGCUGUCCUACUGUCUAAAUAACAGUGGUUAGCAAGGGCCGGGCAAGACCGGUGCCAGCCGCCGCGGUAACACCGGCGGCCCGAGUGGUAACCGUUUUUAUUGGGUUUAAAGGGUCCGUAGCCGGCUUACUAAGUCUCUUGGGAAAUCUGGCGGCUCAAUCGUCAGGCGGCCAAGAGAUACUGGUAGGCUUGGGACCGGGAGAGGUGGGAGGUACUCCAGGGGUAGGGGUGAAAUCUCGUAAUCCUUGGGGGACCACCGAUGGCGAAGGCAUCCCACCAGAACGGGUCCGACGGUGAGGGACGAAAGCUGGGGGCACGAACCGGAUUAGAUACCCGGGUAGUCCCAGCUGUAAACGAUGCUCGCUAGGUGUCAGGUGCGGUGCGACCGCAUCUGGUGCCGCAGUGAAAACUUGAAGCGAGUCACCUGGGAAGUACGGUCGCAAGGCUGAAACUUAAAGGAAUUGGCGGGGGAGCACUACAACGGGUGGAGCCUGCGGUUC